GAUGAACGCUGGCGGCGUGCUUAACACAUGCAAGUCGAACGAUGAAGCCCAGCUUGCUGGGUGGAUUAGUGGCGAACGGGUGAGUAACACGUGAGUAACCUGCCCUUAACUCUGGGAUAAGCCUGGGAAACUGGGUCUAAUACCGGAUAGGAGCGUCCACCGCAUGGUGGGUGUUGGAAAGAUUUAUCGGUUUUGGAUGGACUCGCGGCCUAUCAGCUUGUUGGUGAGGUAAUGGCUCACCAAGGCGACGACGGGUAGCCGGCCUGAGAGGGUGACCGGCCACGCUGGGACUGAGACACGGCCCAGACUCCUACGGGAGGCAGCAGUGGGGAAUAUUGCACAAUGGGCGCAAGCCUGAUGCAGCGACGCCGCGUGAGGGAUGACGGCCUUCGGGUUGUAAACCUCUUUCAGUAGGGAAGAAGCGAAAGUGACGGUACCUGCAGAAGAAGCACCGGCUAACUACGUG
rnacentral:rRNA from 1 species